rnacentral:rRNA from 1 species
AUUGAACGCUGGCGGCAUGCCUUACACAUGCAAGUCGAACGGCAGCGGACCUUCGGGUACCGGCGAGUGGCGAACGGGUGAGUAAUGCAUCGGAACGUACCUUUCAGUGGGGGAUAACGUAGCGAAAGUUACGCUAAUACCGCAUAUUCUGUGAGCAGGAAAGCAGGGGAUCGCAAGACCUUGCGCUGAUUGAGCGGCCGAUGUCAGAUUAGCUAGUUGGUGAGGUAAAGGCUCACCAAGGCGACGAUCUGUAGCGGGUCUGAGAGGAUGAUCCGCCACACUGGAACGGCGACACGGUCCAGACUCCUACGGGAGGCAGCAGUGGGGAAUUUUGGACAAUGGGGGCAACCCUGAUCCAGCCAUGCCGCGUGAGUGAAGAAGGCCUUCGGGUUGUAAAGCUCUUUCGGCCGGGAAGAAAUCGCACGGGCUAAUACCCUGUGUGGAUGACGGUACCGGAAUAAGAAGCACCGGCUAACUACGUGCCAGCCGCCGCCGUAAGAC